CUAUCUUCAAGCACAGCUUGGUUGUUGAGCCCAAUUGUCCUCUAAUGGACAGGCUCGAAAUGCAGCGGCGAUGCCAUGUUUGGCGCCCGAGUGUAUGGGGCUUUGUCACACACUUUUGUGGCCCAGCUGGCGUUAGUCUUGACCGUUAAACUAAG
rnacentral:misc_RNA from 1 species